UACGUAGGGUGCGAGCGUUAAUCGGAAUUACUGGGCGUAAAGGGUGCGCAGGCGGCUCCGCAUGUCGGGCGUGAAAGCCCCGGGCUUAACCCGGGAAUGGCGUCCGAAACUAUGGAGCUGGAGUGUGGCAGAGGGAGGUGGAAUUCCACGUGUAGCGGUGAAAUGCGUAGAGAUGUGGAGGAACACCAGUGGCGAAGGCGGCUCACUGGCUCGGUACUGACGCUGAGGUGCGAAAGCGUGGGGAGCAAACAGG
rnacentral:rRNA from 1 species